rnacentral:rRNA from 1 species
ACGUAGGUGGCAAGCGUUGUCCGGAAUUACUGGGUGUAAAGGGAGCGCAGGCGGGGAGGCAAGUCAGCUGUGAAAUACACGGGCUUAACCCGGGAAUUGCAGUUGAAACUGCUUUGCUUGGGUGGAGUAGAGGUAGGAGGAAUUCCGGGUGUGGCGGUGUAAUGCGUAGAGAUUCGGGGGAAGGCCAUGUGGGGUGGCGACCAAAUAGGCUUUAACUUAGUCUGGGGCUCGAAAGUGUGUUGAUCAAACAG